GGGACCACGUUGUUCAAACAACUAAAAAAAUCAUAUACAUUUUUUAUGAGUAGGUAACGUUUGACCACUUUAUCCAAACAACUACAAAAAAGUCACCUCAUUUUUUACAAAUACCCAGGAGUACUUCAAGCUUAUUUGGCGCAUAACUUUAUUACAUUUUUGCAGUUUAGACUCCCAAAGGAAUGUAACUGAAAACAUAAACCAUACGCUCAUAAAUUUAACUGACAAAAUUAAUGAAUCGUGUCGAGAAUACGAAGUUAAAUUGAAAAAACACCGGAAAUUGGGUGGCCAGAUAUCUUAUAUAAUGAUCAUCUCUUCUAUAAUGGGAGUUAGUAUUCUCUGUUAUAUUCUAAGACAACUGACAGUUGUAUUGCAACAAAAUGUUGAAAUUGAAGGACAUACCGAUUAUGAGUACUAACAUAUUUUUUUCAUUUUUACUAACGCAUGUGAUAUUCAUUUCUAUACCUAUAUACUAGUCGAUUUCCAAUUCGAUAAAUUAAAUUUUGGUUUAAUGAAUAACAUAACUGCAUAAUAAAUACACUGUCAUGCCAUUUA
rnacentral:lncRNA from 1 species